rnacentral:rRNA from 1 species
UACGUAGGGUGCGAGCGUUAAUCGGAAUUACUGGGCGUAAAGCGUGCGCAGGCGGUUUGUUAAGACAGGUGUGAAAUCCCCGGGCUUAACCUGGGAACUGCAUUUGUGACUGCAUCGCUGGAGUGCGGCAGAGGGGGAUGGAAUUCCGCGUGUAGCAGUGAAAUGCGUAGAUAUGCGGAGGAACACCGAUGGCGAAGGCAAUCCCCUGGGCCUGCACUGACGCUCAUGCACGAAAGCGUGGGGAGCAAACAGG